UACGGGGGGGGCAAGCGUUGUUCGGAAUUACUGGGCGUAAAGGGCUCGUAGGCGGCCAACUAAGUCAGACGUGAAAUCCCUCGGCUUAACCGGGGAACUGCAUCUGAUACUGGAUGGCUUGAGUUCGGGAGAGGGAUGCGGAAUUCCAGGUGUAGCGGUGAAAUGCGUAGAUAUCAAGAGGAACACCUGAGGUGAAGACGGGUUGCUGGGCUGACACUGACGCUGAGGCGCGAAAGCCAGGGGAGCAAACGGG
rnacentral:rRNA from 1 species